UACGGGGGGGGGCAAGCGUUUGUUCGGAAUUACUGGGCGUAAAGGGCGCGUAGGCGGCCUGUUAAGUCGGACGUGAAAUCCCUCGGCUCAACCGGGGAACUGCGUCCGAUACUGGCGGGCUUGAAUUCGGGAGAGGGAUGUGGAAUUCCAGGUGUAGCGGUGAAAUGCGUAGAUAUCUGGAGGAACACCGGUGGCGAAGGCGGCAUCCUGGACCGACAUUGACGCUGAGGCGCGAAAGCCAGGGGAGCAAACGGG
rnacentral:rRNA from 1 species